GCGAGAGAGGAGGCGACUUAUAAAGCGGACACUGGCACUUUAAAUGCAGCCCGGGUCACUGGAAAACACAAGCCUUUAUGCAAUACAAAGACAAGACGAACGGAAGGAAUAUGAAGACAGUGUAAAGAUAAGUUUGUCGUUGGAUUUGGCGGCAGUGCAGUGAUCUGUUCAUUAGGGCCUGUAAGCGCUCCUUUCUGCUGAAGUGUUUAUAGGCUAAAGGGAGCCGCUGACUCGCCCUGAUCAAUAGUCUAUGUUUGAUCUGUGGGCUUUAAACUGCGACACAUGACGAUUUCAAGUGGAAGGAGAUUAAGCACACAUGGGAACGGGCCUCGAUCCACACUCACACAUCCAACACGACGAGAAUGUAAUCAAGCGCUGAGCCAUUAUCACACAUGACUUCAGAGUUGUUCAUGCUGGAAACUUUGCAGAUCCGCUGCUAACAGUCGAAUCCGCGCCGUUAGAGACACCAUUAUAUGUCUGAAUUACGGGCUGAAGUAGCGGUAAAUAAGAGGUGGAAUGACGAGGUGGAAAGGCUGGAAAAGAAGAUAGUGAAGUGAACAGUGCUUUCACCAGCGUUGUAGUUACUCAAUAAAUCAUGUUACGCAUUA